rnacentral:rRNA from 1 species
AUUGAACGCUGGCGGCAUGCUUUACACAUGCAAGUCGAACGGCAGCACAGCAGAGGUAACUCUGUGGGUGGCGAGUGGCGAACGGGUGAGUAAUACAUCAGAACGUACCCUGUUGUGGGGGAUAACUACGCGAAAGCGUAGCUAAUACCGCAUACGCCCUGAGGGGGAAAGCGGGGGACCCUAAAUAGAGCGCACUGGGGAGUGCGUUGUAUUUAGGGCCUCGCGCAAUAGGAGCGGCCGAUGUCGGAUUAGCUAGUUGGUGAGGUAAAGGCUUACCAAGGCGACGAUCCGUAGCUGGUCUGAGAGGAUGAUCCGCCACACUGGAACUGAGACACGGUCCAGACUCCUACGGGAGGCAGCAGUGGGGAAUUUUGGACAAUGGGGGCAACCCUGAUCCAGCCAUGCCGCGUGAGUGAAGAAGG